UCCGCUUCCAUGCAGUCGACGGUACGGGGCUGCUCCUGCUGAAGGGGGCGGGUGAGUAACGCGUAGGAAUCUGCCUAGUAGAGGGGGACAACAUGUGGAAACGCAUGCUAAUACCGCAUACGCCCUGAAGGGGAAAGGAGGGGACUUUUCGGAGCCUUCCGCUAUUAGAUGAGCCUGCUGAGAUUAGCUAGUUGGUAGGGUAAAGGCCUACCAAGGCGACGAUCUCUAACUGGUCUGAGAGGAUGACCAGUCACACUGGGACUGAGACACGGCCCAACUCCUACGGGAGGCAGCAGUGGGGAAUAUUGGACAUGGGCGGAAGCCUGAUCCAGCCAUGCCGCGUGUGUGAAGAAGGCCUUAGGGUUGUAAAGCACUUUCAGGGGUGAGGAAGGGUGAUUGGUUAAUACCCAAUUAUCUUGACGUUAGCCCCAGAAGAAGCACCGGCUAACUCUGUGCCAGCAGCCGCGGUAAUACAGAGGGUGCAAGCGUUAAUCGGAAUUACUGGGCGUAAAGCGUGCGUAGGUGGUUUGUUAAGUCGGAUGUGAAAUCCCAGGGCUCAACCUUGGAAUGGCACCCGAUACUGGCAGGCUAGAGUACGGUAGAGGGGUGUGGAAUUUCCUGUGUAGCGGUGAAAUGCGUAGAUAUAGGAAGGAACAUCAGUGGCGAAGGCGACACCCUGGACUGAUACUGACACUGAGGUGCGAAAGCGUGGGGAGCAAACAGGAUUAGAUACCCUGUAGUCCACGCCGUAAACGAUGUCUACUAGCCGUUGGGUUGUAAUGACUUAGUGGCGCAGCUAACGCAUAAGUAGACCGCCUGAGGAGUACGGCCGCAAGGUUAAAACUCAUGAUUGACGGGGGCCCGCACAAGCGGUGGAGCAUGUGGUUUAAUUCGAAGCAACGCGAAGAACCUUACCUACUCUUGACAUCCAGUGAACUUACAGAGAUGCUUUGGUGCCUUCGGGAACACUGAGACAGUGCUGCAUGGCUGUCGUCAGCUCUGUUGAAAUGUUGGGAAGUCCCGUAACGAGCGCCUUAUCCUAUUUGCCGCCUUCGGUUGGACUGGCGACAACGAGAAGGGGGAGUCAUGGUUACAAGAAUAAGCUAUUACUAUACACACUACUCGU
rnacentral:rRNA from 1 species